UGUGGUAAGAUUCUUUCAUAUCAACUCUUGUUGAUACUUUGUUGUGCACAUAAUUUUAUAAUGUUUCAGUGUCGGUUGAAGAUAAGAAGUUAGAGUGACGUGGGUAAUAAAUAAUGUAAAAAGAUAUCUUAGUUGGUUUAGUCUUUGGGUUCCGGUUUGAGUUCAGAGUUGCGACGUUUAUACGGUGACAAAUAUAUAAGCCCUUUACCGCUACACACUUCUUCAUUUCAGCAUAUUUCUUCCUGAUCUCGAGUAAAAUUCACAGAUCAUCAGCGAAAGUAAUUAAUUCAGUACUACAAAGAUGGUUUGAAAACUACCAAAAGUAUAAUCAUAGCAAAAUUGAAGAGGUUGCGAAAGAAUUGGGUUUGAUGUACAAGAAUGUGAAGUACUUCACCUUCACCUCAAAGACACCUGUUCGCCUCGGCACGAUAAAGAAGAGAAAACCAAGCGCAUACAACAUAUUUAUUAAAGAUAAAAUGAAAACCAUGAAAGAUAAACCUCCUGGUGAACAAUUUCGGGCUUGUGCCAAGGAGUGGAAUGCCCUUUCUGCCACGGCCAAAAAAGGCUACCAAGAUAAAAGGGAACUAUUGGACGUACGACCAACGAAUGAAAGGGAGAGGAUGGCCAGGGUAGAAUUUCUAUGGAGAAAAUUGGAUGAAGCUUGUCAAGAACUGGGGACUUACGGAACGGAUGUCUUCCUCCUUAGUUGAGGCGUGAAGUCGGGGAAAGAUGUGGCCCUGGGCAAUGGGAAAGGAAAAGUCUUCCUGGGAAAGUGCCCCAGUAAUGUGACAAAUUUCCGUCUCCACUGUAGAUCUGAUGUAUUGUAUAAUAAUAUAAUAAUGUGACGCAUUUAUAUAGCGCUCCUCAGUAACGUAACUGUUAAAGCGCUGUGGGAUAUCAAAUUAUUACGCCGGUCUCCACAGAAAUCAAUCAGGGGUUUCAAGGAGCAACCAGAAGGCACCCACUUGAACUUGACCAGUCGGGGAACCAAGGAGUGACUGCAGUUGGAACCAGCACUUUGGGUGAAUCUGAAGACCUUGAAAAGAAGGUUCGAGAGGCCCUUAAUAUUGC